rnacentral:rRNA from 1 species
GACGAACCGUGCGAACGUUGUUCGGAUUCACUGGGCAUAAAGGGCGCGUAGGCGGACGGUCAAGUCGGGGGUGAAAUCUUUCAGCUUAACUGGAAAAGUGCCUCCGAUACUGACGGUCUCGAGGGAGGUAGGGGCAUGUGGAACUUCCGGUGGAGCGGUGAAAUGCGUAGAUAUCGGAAGGAACGCCGGUGGCGAAAGCGACGUGCUGGACCUCUUCUGACGCUGAGGCGCGAAAGCUAGGGGAGCAAACGGG